CUCUUGGACAGCCUUCUGAAAGGAAGAUUAAUACAAGAUGGCAUCAUGAGUCCGCAUGUUCACAUGAUUAAAAGGUAUUCCGGUAGACGAUGGGGAUGCGUUCCAUUAGAUAGUAGGCGGGGUAACGGCCCACCUAGUCUUCGAUGGAUAGGGGUUCUGAGAGGAAGGUCCCCCACAUUGGAACUGAGACACGGCCCAGACUCCUACGGGAGGCAGCAGUGGGGAAUAUUGCACAAUGGGCGCAAGCCUGAUGCAGCAACGCCGCGUGGAGGAAGACGGUUUUCGGAUUGUAAACUCCUGUUCUUAGUGAAGAAUAAUGACGGUAGCUAAGGAGCAAGCCACGGCUAACUACGUG
rnacentral:rRNA from 1 species